UACGUAGGGGGCAAGCGUUGGCCGGAAUCAUUGGGCGUAAAGAGCGUGUAGGCGGCCCGAUAAGUCCGCUGUGAAAGUCCAGGGCUCAACCCUGGGAUGCCGGUGGAUACUGUCGGGCUCGAGUCCGGAAGAGGAGUGUGGAAUUCCUGGUGUAGCGGUGAAAUGCGCAGAUAUCAGGAAGAACACCCGUGGCGAAGGCGGUUCUCUGGGACGGUACUGACGCUGAGACGCGAAAGCGUGGGGAGCGAACAGG
rnacentral:rRNA from 1 species